GUGACAUUGCCAUCCAAUAUGUCUCAUCUAAGCGGCAACUCACGGACAUCUUUACUAAAGUCCUUGUCCGUGAUCACUUUCAUAACAUCUCAUGCAAGUUAGGCGUUCGUAAUCUCCACGCUCCAACUUGAGAAGGAGUAUUAGGCAAUAUUUUGAAUUUUGAAUUUUGAAUAGAAGAGAGAUCCUGGGAUCCAUUUUUAUCUUUGUAU
rnacentral:lncRNA from 1 species